rnacentral:rRNA from 1 species
AUUGAACGCUGGCGGCAUGCCUUACACAUGCAAGUCGAACGGUAACGCGGGGCAACCUGGCGACGAGUGGCGAACGGGUGAGUAAUGCGUCGGAACGUGCCCAACAGUGGGGGAUAGCCCGGCGAAAGCCGGAUUAAUACCGCAUACGACCUCAGGGUGAAAGCGGGGGAUCGCAGGACCUCGCGCUGAUGGAGCGGCCGAUGUCAGAUUAGGUAGUUGGUGGGGUAAAGGCCUACCAAGCCGACGAUCUGUAGCUGGUCUGAGAGGACGACCAGCCACACUGGGAGUGAGACACGGCCCAGACUCCUACGGGAGGCAGCAGUGGGGAAUUUUGGACAAUGGGGGCAACCCUGAUCCAGCCAUGCCGCGUGCGGGAAGAAGGCCUUCGGGUUGUAAACCGCUUUCGGCCGGGAAGAAAUCGUGUGGGCUAAUAAUCUGCAUGGAUGACGGUACCGGAAUAAGAAGCACCGGCUAACUACGUGCCAGCAGCCGCGGUAACAC